rnacentral:rRNA from 1 species
GAUGAACGCUGGCGGCGUGCCUAAUACAUGCAAGUCGAGUGAACAGACGAGGAGCUUGCUCCUCUGACGUUAGCGGCGGACGGGUGAGUAACACGUGGAUAACCUACCUAUAAGACUGGGAUAACUUCGGGAAACCGGAGCUAAUACCGGAUAAUAUAUUGAACCGCAUGGUUCAAUAGUUAAAGACGGUUUUGCUGUCACUUAUAGAUGGAUCCGCGCCGCAUUAGCUAGUUGGUAAGGUAACGGCUUACCAAGGCAACGAUGCGUAGCCGACCUGAGAGGGUGAUCGGCCACACUGGAACUGAGACACGGUCCAGACUCCUACGGGAGGCAGCAGUAGGGAAUCUUCCGCAAUGGGCGAAAGCCUGACGGAGCAACGCCGCGUGAGUGAUGAAGGUCUUCGGAUCGUAAAACUCUGUUAUUAGGGAAGAACAAAUGUGUAAGUAACUAUGCACGUCUUGACGGUACCUAAUCAGAAAGCCACGGCUAACUACGUG